AGUGAACGCUGGCGGUAGGCCUAACACAUGCAAGUCGAACGGCAGCACAGUAAGAGCUUGCUCUUACGGGUGGCGAGUGGCGGAUGGGUGAGGAAUACAUCGGAAUUUACUUUUUCGUGGGGGAUAACGACGGGAAACUUACGCUAAUACCGCCUACGACCUACGGGUGAAAGCAGGGGAUCUUCGGACCUUGCGCGUUUGCAUGAGCCGAUGCCGGAUUAGCUAGUUGGCGGGGUAAAGGCACACCAAGGCGACGAUCCGUAGCUGGUCUGAGCGGAUGGUCGGCCACACUAGAACGGGACCGCGGACCAGACUCCUGCGAGAGGCAGCAGUGGGGAACGUUGGACAGUAGGCGGAAGUCUUAUACAGCCAGAGCACGUGUGUGGAGGAGGCGUUGGGGUUGUGAAGCCGGUUUGUUGGGAAAGAAACGCAGUAGGUUAGUACCACGCUAUAGUGACGGUACCCAAAGAAGAAGCACCGGCUAACUACGUG
rnacentral:rRNA from 1 species